rnacentral:antisense_RNA from 1 species
GAACAUCCGUGGGAAUCGUUUCGUUUUUGUGUUCCAACCGUGUUGAAAUGCUGAAACUAGAAACGGCUUCUAAUGCAUUUGGCGAAAACUCUACAUUUAAAUUAGGAUGUUUAAUUGCUUUAAGAUAAAUGCGUUGUUCUUCGUUUAUGGAUAAGUUGUAUGGGACUUUCACAACAAUCAUACGUGAGAUGAGAGCUUCAUUUUUUUUGUUUUCAACAAACGAGCGAUAUUCUGUUUCAUUGGUAUGAGCAAUAAUUAAUUCAUCAGCAUGA